AGCGAACGCUGGCGGCGUGCCUAACACAUGCAAGUCGCACGAGAAAGGGGCCGCAAGGCCCCCGGUACAGUGGCGAACGGGUGAGUAACACGUGGGUAACCUGCCCCUGGGUUCGGAAUAACCUGCCGAAAGGCGGGCUAAUACCGGAUGACAUCGCGCGGCCUUCGGGCUGUGCGUUCAAAGCUGACCUCUUCAUGAAAGUUGGCGCCUGGGGAGGGGCCCGCGGCCCAUUAGCUAGUUGGUGAGGUAACGGCUCACCAAGGCUACGAUGGGUAGCCGGCCGGAGAGGGCGACCGGCCACAGGGGAACUGAGACACGGCCCAAACUCCUACGGGAGGCAGCAGUGAGGAAUCUUGCGCAAUGGGCGAAAGCCUGACGCAGCGACGCCGCGUGGACGAUGAAGGCCUUCGGGUCGUAAAGUCCUGUCGGGUGGGAAGAAAUGGCUCGGAGCUAACAUCUCCGGGUCCUGACUGUACCACCAAAGGAAGCCCCGGCUAACUCCGUGCCAGCCGCCGCGGUAAGAC
rnacentral:rRNA from 1 species